rnacentral:rRNA from 1 species
CCUACGGUGGGCAGCAGUGGGGAAUAUUGGACAAUGGGCGAAAGCCUGAUCCAGCCAUGCCGCGUGUGUGAAGAAGGCCUUCGGGUUGUAAAGCACUUUCAGUGGGGAAGAAAGCCUUGGGGCUAAUACCCUCGAGGAAGGACAUCACCCACAGAAGAAGCACCGGCUAACUCCGUGCCAGCAGCCGCGGUAAUACGGAGGGUGCGAGCGUUAAUCGGAAUUACUGGGCGUAAAGCGCGCGUAGGCGGUCUGAUAAGCCGGUUGUGAAAGCCCCGGGCUCAACCUGGGAACGGCAUCCGGAACUGUCAGGCUAGAGUGCAGGAGAGGAAGGUAGAAUUCCCGGUGUAGCGGUGAAAUGCGUAGAGAUCGGGAGGAAUACCAGUGGCGAAGGCGGCCUUCUGGACUGACACUGACGCUGAGGUGCGAAAGCGUGGGUAGCAAACAGGAUUAGAUACCCCUGUAGUC